CCUCGGGAGGUUUUCAUAAAGAUGACUGCACAAAUGAACCAGUUAACAGCACACAUGCACAACUUGAAGACAUAUAGGCUAUACAGUACGCACGUGCGCAAACACAACGAAUAACGUUUAAAUCGUUUGCACUAUCAUCAGUUAUGUUAUAGUCUCCCAGUUUAAUGCAGAGGAAAGACACAGGUAACAUUGAGGUAGAGAGGGAGGACAUUGAAAAAAGACUUAGUAAUCAUACUAUGACUUGCAUUUUUAAUUAAUUCGAAAUACUAGCAAACAUACGCUGCAGUCUUCUCUGAUGAAAACCAAUUCAGCUAAUAGUAAUGAAUUAUUUUAACAUAUUUGAAUUAUGAUUUAUUAAAAAGCAGCAUACUGCGUAACUUAAGACAAUGUUAUCUUAAAUCCCAUUAUGGCAAACAUGUGUCCAUAUCGCAGUAUUCAGUAUGUUCUACACUCUGGUAAAACUCCUUUUAGCACACACCCUGUGUAGUUAUUUGUGCAUUGUCCAAAGUGACUGAAGAGUCAUUUAUUGUCAGUCCUUUUUGUGAGUAUUGGAAAACAAAUCAGUCAUGUUAGGUUUUGUUUAUUAGCACAAUAUUUGAAACAAACACCAUAAUUCAUCCAUCAACGUGAUGUGAGGAUUCAUUCUUUCUAAGCAUCACAGUCACAUUAUGGCAUACAGAGGCCAAAAUAACCGGUUCGCAUUGUCUCACAAAAAGUAAACACCAUGGCUUCAAGGAUCAGUUUGGCCACAGUUUUCAAGUUCCUGUCAUGGGAGUAUAUUUCAAGGGAAUGCUUCAUGCAACUAUUCGUCUUCAUCCCUUUACCAAAUGACAAUGCAUCCCUUUAUAAAAAUGCUGGCGGAAAUGUACAGCACGGAAGGGAACAUGAACUUGGUGGACUUCAUGCACAGCGAAUUCUCAUCCUUUUGGAGUGCACGGUGACCACUGAGCAUGCGCAGUGCUUUGCGGAACCCAGUGUUGUGAGUCUUGCCUAUGAGAGACUUUUCCGUCAGCCUUUGGACUCCUACAGAGGGGAACGGCCAUGGCUGCCAGUCAACGGAUGGCAAGUGGACGGGACGGUCCCGUCGACGCAGGUGUCACUGAAGAUCCUGCUGGACAUCAGAUAG
ensembl:lncRNA